AUACGGAAGGUCCGGGCGUUAUCCGGAUUUAUUGGGUUUAAAGGGAGCGCAGGCGGAGAUGCAAGCGUGACGUCAAAUUUCGGGGCUCAACCCCGUCUCGCGUCGCGAACUGCGUCCCUUGGUUGCGGGUAGGGGAGGCGGAACUCGUGGUGUAGCGGGGAAAUGCAUAGAUAUCACGAAGAACUCCGAUCGCGAAGGCAGCCUUCCGGCCCGUCAACGACGCUCAUGCUCGAAGGUGCGGGUAUCAAACAGGAUUAGAUACCCUGGUAGUCCGCACAGUAAACGAUGGACACCCGCGGUUUGGCCUGUAUGGCUGAGCCGCCAAGCGAAAGCGUUAAGUGUCCCACCUGGGGAGUACGCCGGCAACGGUGAAACUCAAAGGAAUUGACGGGG
rnacentral:rRNA from 1 species